rnacentral:rRNA from 1 species
CCUUCGGGUGCGUUAAUGGGCGUCGAGCGGCGGACGGGUGAGUAAUGCCUAGGAAAUUGCCUUGAUGUGGGGGAUAACCAUUGGAAACGAUGGCUAAUACCGCAUAACGCCUACGGGCCAAAGAGGGGGAUCUUCGGGCCUCUCGCGUCAAGAUAUGCCUAGGUGGGAUUAGCUAGUUGGUGAGGUAAUGGCUCACCAAGGCGACGAUCCCUAGCUGGUCUGAGAGGAUGAUCAGCCACACUGGAACUGAGACACGGUCCAGACUCCUACGGGAGGCAGCAGUGGGGAAUAUUGCACAAUGGGCGAAAGCCUGAUGCAGCCAUGCCGCGUGUAUGAAGAAGGCCUUCGGGUUGUAAAGUACUUUCAGUUGUGAGGAAGGGGGUAACGUUAAUAGCGUUAUCUCUUGACGUUAGCAACAGAAGAAGCACCGGCUAACUCCGUGCCAGCAGCCGCGGUAAUACGGAGGGUGCGAGCGUUAAUCGGAAUUACUGGGCGUAAAGCGCAUGCAGGUGGUUCAUUAAGUCAGAUGUGAAAGCCCGGGGCUCAACCUCGGAACUGCAUUUGAAACUGGUGAACUAGAGUGCUGUAGAGGGGGGUAGAA